GCAACUCGAGCAGAAAAAUACACGUGUCGUAGCUGUUAUUAUUAUACCUCCGUGGUCGUAGCUAGACAAACAUUUAUACAAACGAAUUGAACCGACACAACGUUGAAGAAGAGGCGCCACCUACAUCAUGAAUGAUUUUGGAAGCUACCCUCCGCCGAACUUUGGCUCUCCUCCAGGUUCGAUGGUAAGACCGCCAACGUUCCAUCCACCUCCUAGCAACUCCCAGCCCAGUAUGUGGAACUGGUACGAGCCGCCAUCCGAGCCGUGGAGCUACAACGGCCAGGGAGAACACUGGAACGGCGGCCCCGAACCCGGUCGACCCAGAGGCUCAUAUGGCCGGAACUUCCAUCGUGGACAUGGAAGCGGAAGGCAGGACUAUGGUCCUCCCAACAACCAGUGGAAAAAG